rnacentral:lncRNA from 1 species
UCUGCCUCCCAUCAAAACCUCCACCCACCCCGCCCUCCUUCUCUUCUCCGGCAUCGUCGGCCGCGGUGCCUGGAUCCAGCGAAGCCGUGCCUCCAUUUCUCCUCAUAUCUCAACAGAUUUUCACCUCUCUCCUUCUCAUCCCUCAAUUUCUCAGUUCGUGCCCUAGAUCUUCUUCCAAAAUGUUGUCACCUCAAGGAUCUCCGCCACGAUUAGCUCCGGCAAGGCUGGCUGCCGCCGCCUCUGAAAUUGGCGAGGCAAUCGUCAUCCCCUGUUCUCACCUACUCAUUCACACGCACACGACGAAGACAAGGGUUGAGCCCUGACCUCUCGGCUCGACUGCUGCCGCUCUGUCUCACGAGAGCCUUCGCCGUCGGCGCUGGGCUCUAAAAUUGGUGAGGCCGUCGCGCUCCCCUCCCCGUGUUCGUCCGGCGGGUAGCAGUCCUGAGGUUGCCACCUUCUUAGCCAGAUAUUACUUAUGCAGGCGGGCCAGCUGGUAAAUUUUCCCAAAUUCAGUUAUCGGAUUAGGUAUCCUCUUCGAAAAAAUGCCAUCUUUGGAUGGAUCCCAUGUUUCAGAUCUGAGUGUGUGUGUGAGUGUGGGCAAUUAGUUUUACUGGGUGCUCUUUACUGUGUAAUGUAUGUAGUUCAAGUGAUGAGCUGAUUUCUGAAAGUUGGGCUGUUUAUGAACUCUUUGAUACUUUGAUAUGAAGCUAAAAGAGCUGAUAUAUAUAUCUAUAUAUGUAUGUAUGUAGGCAUAUUAUAUGUUUCUUGGUGAUUGGUCAAUGGGUGGAUUGAGAAGCUUUUGGUGGUGAAAUCCAUGCUCGUAGUUGAACUGCUUAGUCUGAAUUGGAAUUUGUUUAGAUGCAAUUUCUGCAUCUGACUUCGUUUGCUAUUAUUUGUUAUCAUAGUUUGCAUAUUUUUAUGGUGAUGUUAGGCUUGGUGAUAAUGUUAUGAUAAUGAUGUUAGGCUUGGUGUGAAGAUAUCGAAAAAGGAGAAGAAAGCUGCAAAGGACACAAACAAGCCAAAAAGUC